CACUUCCCUUCUUUCUACCUUAAAUUUCUAAAGUUAUACACCACAGCCAAAACACCCCUCCAUCUUCCCCUGUUCCUCAUUUGUUGAUCAGCCUCUGCCCUAAAUCCCCUGCCCUCCAUUCUUCCAUCCCUUCUCAGCUUCCAGGGCUUCAAAAACACUCAUGGCACUCUUCUUCAAAAUUACCAAAGAUCUGAAAGAAGCAGGCGCUGCUGCAGAGAGUAAGCAAGAACGUGAGCUCUGCGCUCUUCUUGUCAAUUCAAUAAUUGAUGGCACCCCGUACAUCUGGAAAACGUUUUAUUCUGGCGAAGCUGCUGCCAUACUCAGCAAAGAAACCUUCAGAAUCUUGAAAGAAACCGUCAAAAAGUUCGAGGAUGUUUUCCGCAUACCUCCUUGUAAGUCGCCCCCUCAACCAACUGAAGCUAACGUUUCGAGUAAAAAAAGAAAAGAGAAAAACACAAAAAAAUGCGAACACAGUUCUGUUCACGCCAGGCAAACAAACCAAACAGCAAAAAAAAGUAAACCAUCCACAAAGAAAGGGAAAGAAAAAAUGACUCAGGUUGAAACAAGUUGUGAAGAUGAUAAAGAUGAAUACUCACCCUUGCCAUGGACUGGAAUGUUUGUUGGCAAUGGUUCAGUUGUGUCCGGAACCAAACGUUAUGAUAUGUACUGUGAAGGAACGGACGGCUAUUUCUACCUGCGUACAGUGUACCAAGUCGUUGAAGCCUAUGGUAGCGGAGGAAGAACCAGUGGCUACCUUUCUUCUGAUGACGAAACAUAUGAUCCCGACAACUCUGAAGAGGAAGCCUAUCAUGCUGAAGACUUCGGUUCAACAGUUUGAGCUUGAUUUCUAGGAAUCAUUUUGGACAUACUGGAUCAACUAUCUGCUUGAAGACUGGCGACAACUGUUUUCGAAGAAAAAAGAAUGAGGAGUCUUGCUUUUGCCCACACACAUGCUCCUCCAACUCUAGAAUUGCCAGCUCUUUUGCCUAUUUUGAGAACUAUGUUACUACAUGUGUAGCUGUUAGAUUAUCAUACAAAUUUGUAUAAAAUCAGGUAGUGUAUGCACUUUUUUGAGCAAGCUCAACUAACAGAGCAGCCUAAUGUAGGAAGAAAACAAAUUGACGAGCAUUUCCAAAAUGCAAAACCGCUUAUGAUAUGCUAACAUUCCAAACUUAUCAACAAUUACUUCUA